rnacentral:rRNA from 3 species
CACACGACUCUCGGCAACGGAUAUCUCGGCUCUCGCAUCGAUGAAGAGCGUAGCGAAAUGCGAUACCUGGUGUGAAUUGCAGAAUCCCGCGAACCAUCGAGUCUUUGAACGCAAGUUGCGCCCGAGGCCACUCGGCCGAGGGCACGCCUGCCUGGGCGUCACGC